rnacentral:RNase_P_RNA from 1 species
UGAGUCAGCCAGACGGUCGCGGGCAGAAAUGCACGAGGAAAGUCCGAGCACCACAGGGCACGGGUGCAGGGUAACCCCCUGUCAGGGCGACCUGAAGGAAAGUGCAACAGAGAUAUACCGCACGGCAACGUGUAAGGGUGGAAACGCGAGGUAAGAGCUCACGCACGUGCUGGUGACAGCAUGAUGAUGUAAACCCCACUUGGUGCAAGAUAGAACGACAAAAUGCUGACCCGGCAUCGUUCGCUAAAAUCGCUUGAGCCUGUUGGUAACAGCAGGUCUAGACAGAUGACCGUUUAAUACAGAACUCGGCUUACAGACUGAUCUCAUUGC